rnacentral:lncRNA from 1 species
CAAGUUCUUGUUUAAGGUGGCUUUGUGUAACGGUCACGUUACAAAAUUAGCUCUUUAAUUAUUAUUAUAAUUAUUUUUCCUCGGUCUCCAUUUAAAUUCUCUAAUUUCUCGUAUAGGACUACUGGGGUGACGUCAUACCUCGGUGAUGGAACGUACUCCACCUAUCGAGAAUGAUUUCGUUUUCUGAGAGAGUUUGACGUUUACCUUGGCGGAGAAGCGCCUCUCGUUCUUUACUUGACUGUUGGCUGUUGUGUCGAAUAGAGGUACCAUAUAGAAUGGCGGAUGAUUUCAUCCAACUGAUUUUAUAACAUCAAGCAAUUUAAAGUAAAGUAAAAAGUUACCACCAAGGAUUGUCUGGAGUGAGGAGAUAUGUGGGUGACAACUCCUGUUGGAGUCUAAAUAGGAAUCAUUCGGUGAGAUCUACUUUUUCAUAAUAAUUUUUUUUAUGUAUAGCUUUGUUUUUUGUUAUGGAACAUUAGAUAUACUUGGUUCAUUUUUAAACUUUCUUAGUCAAUCUAUUAAGGGAAGGAUGUAGAUUAUUUCGAUCUUUAUAUUAUCUUUAUAUCGAUCUUUUAUAUUAAUGUGGUUUUUGGUUUUACAUAACCAAACAUUUUUGAAGUCUUCAAAUUAAUAUUGAAAAUAAUUACCAUUUCUCUGUAGGUUUUAAAUUAUUCGACAUCCAAUAUUUUAUAAAUUCAAUAUAUUUUUACAGAUAUUUCCUCAAAUAAAUCAUUUCAAUGUCAUUUGUCCAUGUAUUCACACUCAAAACAGUUCAAGGUUACCUGAGAUUGGUUUUUGUUCCAGUUUUAAUGGUCGGUUUUUCUAUACUAUUGCUUCUAAAAAGUAUUUCUUCUUCCCUUUACUUUUUGCUCAUGUUUAAAAUGAGAAAUAAAACUGGGAAUGUUUUUUAGCCAUUUGGGAGAAACCCUACCAUGAAGUCAUAGACCUUAUUUGACCACCUAGGGAAACCACUACAGCCACAGUCAAGUCACCAUUGGGAAUACGUCUUUUUGGGAACAAGCUAUGGGAGCGUUCCAGCUCAAUUUUCGUCUUGGCACCUGGGCCUACAGGAGUCAUGGGGUCGCACCAUCCUGGUGCAUCAUUUUCUAGGAUGCAACCGCAACCUCGUUUGGGAACAUUUAGUGAGGUGUUGUAGUAACUAUUGAUUUUUUUUAUAUUUCAGACUAUCUGUUAAAUACACUGUUUUUUUCCAGAUUUAGGUUACCUCUGGUUUUUUUGACAUAUUUGUAUAUUAGAUUAUUUGGUUCCCAAACUUUGUAUCUACGGUAACUUCUUGUGCACAGGAAUAAGCCUAGAGAAAAUUAGGUUUUUAAUAUUUUAUUAUUGCUUUGAUAUUGGUUUAUGUAAUUCGGGUAAAUUUAUUUUUUUAAUAUUACUAGCUUGUUUCCCAAAUAUUUUACUGUUAUUCGCUUUAUUCCAUUUGUUCGGUUAAUUUAGGUCAUCGUCGGUAUUUAUCUCAACUUCAUUUCUACUUUAGUCAAUUGUAUAUUUAACUUUAUUUAUUCAUUAUUGUAUUUUCCCUUAGUGAGGCUUGGGCCUAUUUAUUUGUUGUAUUUUCAUCUUUGUCAGUUUCCUUUAGUUGUACGUAGCAGGCGUACUAUAACCAUUUGGUAGAAGACUUAUGUAAUUUUGUACCCUAUAUGUUAGUGAAAGGUACUUAUACCUGUAAUUUUGUAACAGGUAACAUUGUUGUUAUCUUAGGUUGAACAUAACUUUUGCAAACUUUUGUCAUGUUAGAGUCACAUAAUAUGAACUUGUUUAACUCAGAGAUUGUUAAAAAUCUGGUAGUUCAUUUUAAUAAAUGUUUAUUUAUUUUGUAUAUCAUUUAUUUUUAUUACUCCUUUAUGUUCAUUAUUACAGGUUUAAUAUAUUUAAUAUUUGACAGCAGUGUAAGAUACCUGGGAGAAUGAUCGAAGAUCAUUUUCAUGGCGCCCAUGAUUAGUUAGUUUUAUUUAUUUUGUUCGUUUUUAGUCAUUAGUCAUCUCCAUUCAUUUUCAGUACAUUAUUCUUAUUUUAUUAUUUCAUCUUUUAGUCAUCAUUACUAUCUAUAUAGAGCUACUGUUCUUCGACAGGCAUGCAAACGAGCCGUAUCCAUCCUUGAGUGUCAAGUUGCUCUCUUGCAUCUAUAGCUAGCCAACUCUAUUCAGUUUGCCUCUGUCUCUUCCCACUUCUACUUCUAUCCCUUCUAAUUCCCCUUUCUUCAGUACUACUGCACUUUAGUAGUAUUUUUUUUUUUAUUUUUCCUAUUGCGGCUUCUCAACGUAGAAGUCACUUCAUCCUUUUCUUUACACACCCCACACUCUCUUCUUUUCAGCUACAACUAUUUAGCUACCUAGUCUUAAUUCUUUUUUUUUCCUUACUUCUGUUGGAGUACUUAUAUCUUUCUUUUUAACUUUCACUCCAACAGAAGUUUUCUUAUUUUUGUUACACUGGCUGCCCAAUGCGUGGUGCCAACCGUUUAUGGUUUUAAGACAGUAGUUCUUUUAGUUCAUUUUUAUUUUAUUGGAAUUUUUGUAUUAUUAACUUUUUGAUAUCUUUGUAUACAUGUUACUUCUGAUUUAUUUUUGGUCUUUAAAAUUUUAUUAAUACUAAACAGGUAGACUUAUACUGCUUUUGGUUUUGAUUAGUUUAUUUCGAUACCUCAUUUUUAGUUUUAGUGGUACAGCUCAUAUUUUAGUUUGAAUUUUGUAUUUUUAUUGGAAACUUAUUUGUGUAUUUAGAAUGAGUAUACAUGACUGACAUUAUGUUCUAUUAUUAUGGAUUUUUAGUCCUUCUACCAAUAGUAGUAUGUUUGCACGUACAAUUAAUUAUUGACUAUAUGCAUAUAUUUUUUUUCUAGUGUGGUUAUAUUUUACACCUAACUGGAAAUUAUUUUCAGUAUUUAGGUAUUUUAUUUAAUUUAUUGAUUUGAUUAUUUAUAUAUUUUGCUGGCAUUUUGAUUUGUUGGUGUGUCGCUAAUAUUUUCUCCAUAUGUAUCUUUGUCUUACAAACUUUAGAUUAUAUUUUAUAUUUGUUAUUUUUGAUAUUUGGGUUGUUUGGUAAGACAGGCACACACCACAAGGCAAUAUCGGUCCACAACAUUAGCUUCUAUACAUGAUACGUUGAAUUCGCAUGGUUCGGAUGAUUACAGAUGGUCAUCCAAAUUUAAUUUCUUUAAUUGGUAGUGUUAAACAUUACAAUGAUAAAUUGUAUAGUAAAGUAGUUCCAUUAUCCAUCUCACCUUCUAGUUUGUUAAUGUUGAUAAUAAUAUUAUACCAGUGUGGGUACCAUAAUAUAAUGCUUAUAUAAAUCAGAUGCUUUGGGUUGAGAUGUGAAUAUAAAUUUUUUGUUAGCUAAGAAGCAUUGAUAAUAGUCCUUAUUUGUCUAUUAAGUUUUAGAACAAUACUCAGAAGAAGAUUGACUUAACAGUGGUUGAGCCAAUCUCUUCUUUGGUUUGCCUUUAGCUCAAUUUUUAUUGUUAUAUUUUAAUCUAAUGUUUUUAAUCAUCAGGUAGUGCAGGUACCUACAUUACUCGAUUUCAUCUUUUGGCUUUGUUGUCGAUGACUUUUAAUUUAUUAUUUAUUAAUUUAAUUAUUAUGUAGUACUCUCGUUUAUGAGCUUAUCAUUUUGUUGCAUUAUUAAUGGUGCACUUUUCAAUAUGUAAGCUCAGACAAGUACGUUGGUUUAAUAUUGAUAUUUUGUAUGGAACUAUGGAACUUAUCAUAAUGUACACUACUAUAUCUCAGUUUAUGUGAUAUAUUUUGAAUAUUUGAUUACUUACUAUUUUUUUUAUAUUAUUUCUAUAUUUUGUUCUUGGAUUUGCCAUAGUGGAAAGAUGUUGUGGUUUAUAAUUUGUUAUUGGGUUACUCUAUUAACAUUUGUCUCCAAUAUCUUAAACACUUUAUAAUAAUUUAUAUCCUUAUAUCCUACACACUAUGAUUCUGGAAUUAGUUUGGAAGUUUGAGGUAUGUACGGAUUCUUAAGUCUCUAAGUCUGAAUGUAUGCAUGGUAUGUGGUUGUAUGCAUAAUGUAUGUAUGUAUGGAUGAUGUAUGUAGGUAUGGAUAAUGUAUGUAUGUAUGAAUGAGGUAGGUAUGUAUGGAUGAUGUAUGUAUUGAUUUCUUCUUUUGGACUAGUUUGUCAUUACUCUGUUGAUACUCUCAUUUGUGAAUGCGUGGGUUCGAGGUUGUUGCUCAGCAACUGAUCACUGCUGUUCGAUUGACUUCGUGAUCUAUGUCUUUCAUGGCUGAGUACGCAGAUGUUUUUUUUUUCAUCAUAAUAUUUCUGGUCAGGAAAUGUUGGCCACAUUUCCUAACCAUUCUUCUGUAAUUAGUCCAAUUAUUCCAGUUACAUUUUUACCAUUAGAUAGGGAAGUAUUUAGUUCAUAUUAGGUCUUUUACUUCAUAGUAUGUUUGUACUUUGAGUUGAUGAGUAAACAUGGAUAAAUAUCUUGCGCACUUGUUUAUAAAUCAAUGCUUAGGCCAUCCCUAUACAUAGUAGGUUCGUUAAGUCAGUAUUGGGAGUGUUUAGACAGAUGAGUUGUUCAUUUGAGUAUAUUCCCACUUCUUUCCUUAGGCAUUAGUCUUGCUAUUCAGAUUCUGGAAUAUUUCCUGAAUAAUUCCACGUAUGUGAGAGCGCAUGAAUCUGCAGUUUUAAUUAAAAUUGGUUGCCCGUUCUCGUCAAUUUUUUUUUCUUAUCACUUAUCCUAUUUUUUUUCCUAUACCCUAUCACAUAUUUUUUUUGCCUAUCACUUAUCAUAGUGUCAUAGAACUUACGAGUUCAUCAUGUAUUCUUUUUCUUUCUUACUUAUUCUUACGUUAUUGGUACCUUAUCUGAGUCUGGUUAUUCUCAUACAUCUGUGGUAGCAACAUGCUAUAGUUCGCGAAUACCAGCAUGAAUUAAGUUAUGUAUUUUCUAUAAUAUCUUAGUCAAUACACUUUAGGUAUUUAUCUUACUUUUGAUUUAGUUAGGUUACAUCUCUGUUACUUAGUCUGUUAGCAAUAUUUAUUCUGACUUAUUUUGAUUACUUAGUUUGGAUAGGUUCAUAUUACCGGAUGAGGGUGUAUGUAGACCUAAUUUAUUUAUUUUGUUCAGUAUUAGUUACCAUUGGAUCCAAUAAUUUAGUUUAUUUAGUAUUAGUAAGAAUUGGUCCAUAAAUUUGCCUGAUCGUUCUUCUUUGGAUAUACUCCUAUAUAAAUCUGGUGUCCAUUGAUAGUCCGAUUCUGGAUAAGUGUCCGAUUCUUCAUUUAUUUUGUGUAUUUGGUUGGAUAGGUUCGUAUUACCGGAUGUGGGUGUACGUAGACCUGAUCUGUUUAUGUGGUUUAGUAUUGGUGUGAAUUGGUCCAUAAAUUUGCCUGGUCGUUCUUCUUUGGAUAUACCUUUUAUGAAUCUGGUGUCCACUGAUAGUUCGACUUUGGAUUAAAUGUCCGAUUCCACAUCUAUUUUGGUUAUUGAGUUUUGGAUUCCUUUGGUAUGUUUAUUAUUGGUAUUAUUUGGCAUUAGUGAGAGUUGUUCCAUAAAUCUUCCUGAUUGUUCUUCUCUGGAUAUACUAUUAUGAAUCUGGUGUCCAUUGUUAGUUCAAUUUUGGAUUAAGUGUUCAAUUCUUUACUUAUUUUAGUUACUGAUUUUUUUUUAUUCACUUGGGUGCAUUUGCUUUUGAUAUGGUUCGAAUUGGCUCACACCUUUUCCUGGUUGUUCCGUCCUUGGAUAUAUCCUUUAUAAAUCUGAUGUCCAUGGAUAGCUCAAUUUUGGUUUUAGUGCCCAAUUCGACACUUAGUUAUUAUUAUGAACUUUAGUACAAUAUUUAGUUUGUUUGGUUUUUGAAGCAAUAUUAAUAUUGGUAACAGAGAGUAACAUAGUAACAUUUUAGUAUGAAUUUGAGUCAUAUAUUUAUUGAUUUUUCCUUGACCAUUAGUUUAUGCUUAGUGGUAACCUUGCGAAUAAACGUGGAUUGUUAGACUAUUGUAAAUUUAGUUGUUAAUAUUUUGAAGUUUAGAAAAAAAAAAAAAUUUAUGGAUAAAAUUUUUUUUUCCCGAGUAGAAGGGGAUUGUAACGGUCACGUUACAAAAUUAGCUCUUUAAUUAUUAUUAUAAUUAUUUUUCCUCGGUCUCCAUUUAAAUUCUCUAAUUUCUCGUAUAGGACUACUGGGGUGACGUCAUACCUCGGUGAUGGAACGUACUCCACCUAUCGAGAAUGAUUUCGUUUUCUGAGAGAGUUUGACGUUUACCUUGGCGGAGAAGCGCCUCUCGUUCUUUACUUGACUGUUGGCUGUUGUGUCGAAUAGAGGUACCAUAUAGAAUGGCGGAUGAUUUCAUCCAACUGAUUUUAUAACAUCAAGCAAUUUAAAGUAAAGUAAAAAGUUACCACCAAGGAUUGUCUGGAGUGAGGAGACAUGUGGGUGACAACUCCUGUUGGAGUCUAAAUAGGAAUCAUUCGCCAUUUGGGAGAAACCCUACCAUGAAGUCAUAGACCUUAUUUGACCACCUAGGGAAACCACUACAGCCACAGUCAAGUCACCAUUGGGAAUACGUCUUUUUGGGAACAAGCUAUGGGAGCGUUCCAGCUCAAUUUUCGUCUUGGCACCUGGGCCUACAGGAAUCAUUUUCUAGGAUGCAACCGCAACCUCGUUUGGGAACAUUUAGUGAGGUGUUGUAGUAACUAUUGAUUUUUUUUAUAUUUCAGACUAUCUGUUAAAUACACUGUUUUUUUCCAGAUUUAGGUUACCUCUGGUUUUUUUGACAUAUUUGUAUAUUAGAUUAUUUGGUUCCCAAACUUUGUAUCUACGGUAACUUCUUGUGCACAGGAAUAAGCCUAGAGAAAAUUAGGUUUUUAAUAUUUUAUUAUUGCUUUGAUAUUGGUUUAUGUAAUUCGGGUAAAUUUAUUUUUUUAAUAUUACUAGCUUGUUUCCCAAAUAUUUUACUGUUAUUCGCUUUAUUCCAUUUGUUCGGUUAAUUUAGGUCAUCGUCGGUAUUUAUCUCAACUUCAUUUCUACUUUAGUCAAUUGUAUAUUUAACUUUAUUUAUUCAUUAUUGUAUUUUCCCUUAGUGAGGCUUGGGCCUAUUUAUUUGUAGUAUUUUCAUCUUUGUCAGUUUCCUUUAGUUGUACGUAGCAGGCGUACUAUAACCAUUUGGUAGAAGACUUAUGUAAUUUUGUACCCUAUAUGUUAGUGAAAGGUACUUAUACAUGUAAUUUUGUAACAGGUAACAUUGUUGUUAUCUUAGGUUGAACAUAACUUUUGCAAACUUUUGUCAUGUUAGAGUCACAUAAUAUGAACUUGUUUAACUCAGAGAUUGUUAAAAAUCUGGUAGUUCAUUUUAAUAAAUGUUUAUUUAUUUUGUA